GUGCAAAAAGCCAAACCCGUUGUGAAGCGGGGGCGGAAAACUUCGGGUCUUGAGACUUUUUAAAGUAGCCAAGACAGCCGGGUUGCCACUC
rnacentral:ncRNA from 1 species